rnacentral:rRNA from 1 species
CUACGGGGUGUAGCAGGCGAGAAAACUUUGCAAUGUGCGAAAGCACGACAAGGUUAAUCCGAGUGGUUUCUGCUAAAGGAACCUUUUGACAGUCCUAGAAACACUGUUGAAUAAGGGGUGGGCAAGUUCUGGUGUCAGCCGCCGCGGUAAAACCAGCACCUCAAGUGGUCAGGAUGAUUAUUGGGCCUAAAGCAUCCGUAGCCGGCUCUGUAAGUUUUCGGUUAAAUCUGUACGCUCAACGUACAGGCUGCCGGGAAUACUGCAGAGCUAGGGAGUGAGAGAGGUAGACGGUACUCGGUAGGAAGGGGUAAAAUCCUUUGAUCUAUUGAUGACCACCUGUGGCGAAGGCGGUCUACCAGAACACGUCCGACGGUGAGGGAUGAAAGCUGGGGGAGCAAACCGGAUUAGAUACCCUGGUAGUC